UACGAAGGGGGCUAGCGUUGUUCGGAUUUACUGGGCGUAAAGCGCACGUAGGCGGUUUGUUAAGUCAGGGGUGAAAUCCCGGAGCUCAACUCCGGAACUGCCUUUGAUACUGGCAAGCUAGAGUCCGGAAGAGGUAAGUGGAAUCCAAGUGUAGCGGUGGAAUGCGUAGAGAUCCGGAAGAACACCGGUGGCGAAGGCGGUCUGACUGGGGUGAGGCUGACGCUGAUGCGCGACAGCGUGGGGAGCAACAGG
rnacentral:rRNA from 1 species